UACGGAGGAUCCAAGCGUUAUCCGGAAUUACUGGGCGUAAAGAGUUGCGUAGGUGGCAUAGUAAGCGGACAGUGAAAACGUGUGGCUCAACCACAUAAACAUUGCCUGAACUACUAAGCUAGAGGACAAGAGAGGUAUCUGGUAUUCCCAGUGUAGGAGUGAAAUCCGUAGAUAUUGGGAGGAACACCGAUGGCGUAGGCAGGGUACUGGCUUGUUCCUGACACUAAGGCACGAAAGCGUGGGUAGCGACCCGGAUUAGAUACCCGGUUAGUCCACGCCGUAAACGAUGAAUGCUAGCUGUUAUUGGUAUCGACCCCAGUAGUAGCAAAGCUAACGCGUUAAGCAUUCCGCCUGUGGAGUACGGUCGCAAGACUAAAACAUAAAGGAAUUGACGGGGACCCGCACAAGCGGUGGAGCGUGUUGUUUAAUUCGAAAGUAAGCGAAGAACCUUACCCAGGCUUGACAUCCUGCGAAUUUCUCCGAAAGGAGAGAGUGCUUUAUUGAGCGCAGUGACAGGUGUUGCAUGGCCGUCGUCAGCUCGUGUCGUGAGAUGUUUGGUUAAGUCCAUCAACGAGCGCAACCCUUAUGUUUAGUUGCUUUUCUAAACAGACUGCCCUGGUAACAGGGAGGAAGGAGGGGAUGAUGUCAGGUCAGUAUUGCCCUUACGUCUGGGGCUACAGACACGCUACAAUGGCCGGUACAAAGGGCAGCCAAGUCGCGAGACGGAGCAAAUCCCAUCAAAACCGGUCCCAGUUCGGAUAGUAGGCUGAAACUCGCCUGCUUGAAGCCGGAAUCGCUAGUAACGGUAAGUCAGCAUAUUACCGUGAAUACGUUCCCGGGUCUUGUACACACCGCCCGUCAAGCCAUGAAAGUCGCCAAUACCUGACGUGUGAGCUUUGCCUCGCCCUAAGGUAGGGGAGAUGAUUGGGGUU
rnacentral:rRNA from 1 species